AAUGCAGUAUUGCAGGCUAAUUCUGCUGACUGCCAGCAGUUUGAUUCUACUGGCUCAAUGUUGACUCAGCUUUCUAUUCUUCGAGGUUAAUUUCUUUGGUGCCAUUGGAAAGGAAAUACUUCAUGUCAUGUCAUUAUCAUCAUCAUCAUCAUUGACUCAAGAGAACCUUCAUCCACACAGUGAUGUUGACAGUCUCUCCUUAUCAAGAUGGUAUGGCACCACAGAGAGCUUUUCCUUCUUGUAUUAGCCAAGAAGAUUCUGCAUAGAGAAAAUGGCCUUGGAACACCUAAAUGAGAAACCUAGCUGCUGGUUGGAUAUGAAGACCAGGCUCAGGUCUCAGAGCAACACUUCAUGAACAAAGACAUUCAACUUUCUGUAGAUUAGACUCCACAUGGUGAAAUCAAAGGAGGUACCUGAAAUAUCAUGUUACAUCCUAGGAUGGUUUUUUUCCCCAGAAUGUUUAUGGAGUAAAGGCAGUUCUUUCCAAAGACUUUCAUUGUUUUAACUGAUGCCAGCACAUAGCUAUAAUUUGACUGGCCAUGCAUUUAUAUAUCAUUUUUUCACCUUAAGCACUCAUUUGGACAAACAAAUCAGUAAAAGAAAUAAAAUUACUAUGAGGAAA